rfam:Fungal sp. No.11243 DNA, scaffold: sccafold0009.
AGGUACUACCACACCCUGUUGAAAACUUCGGAUCCCGUUCGAUCUCCUGUAAAUAAGCAACAGAGGGACUCAUUAGUAGUUGCGUGGGUGACCAGCAGCGAAUCCGGGUUGUUGUACUUU